rnacentral:rRNA from 1 species
CCUACGGGUGGCUGCAGUCGAGAAUCAUUCACAAUGGGGGAAACCCUGAUGGUGCGACGCCGCGUGGGGGAAUGAAGGUCUUCGGAUUGUAAACCCCUGUCAUGUGGGAGCAAAUUAAAAAGAUAGUACCACAAGAGGAAGAGACGGCUAACUCUGUGCCAGCAGCCGCGGUAAUACAGAGGUCUCAAGCGUUGUUCGGAAUCACUGGGCGUAAAGCGUGCGUAGACUGUUUCGUAAGUCGUGUGUGAAAGGCGCGGGCUCAACCCGCGGACGGCACAUGAUACUGCGAGACUAGAGUAAGGGAGGGGGAAGCGGAAUUCGCGGUGUAGCAGUGAAAUGCGUAGAUAUCGGGAGGAACACUCGUGGCGAAGGCGGGUUCCUGGACAUUAACUGACGCUGAGGCACGAAGGCGAGGGGAGCGAAAGGGAUUAGAUACCCGGGUAGUC